rnacentral:piRNA from 1 species
UGAGAUUUGUUUCUUCUUUUGACAACAGUA